rnacentral:rRNA from 1 species
CCCUUAGAUGUUCUGGGCCGCAUGCGUGCUACACUGAUGCAUUCAACGAGUCUAAAACCUGGUCUGAUAGGGCUGGGUAAUCUUUUGAAAGUGCAUCGUGAUUGGGAUAGAUGAUUGCAAUUCUUCAUCUUCAACGAGGAAUGCCUAGUAAACGCAAGUCAUCAGCUUGCAUUGAUUACGUCCCUGCCCUUUGUACACACCGCCCGUCGCUCCUACCGAUUGAAUGAUCCGAUGAAUAUCAUGGAUUGAGAGUACGAAUGGGUUCGCUCAUUUCUGCUGCUCGAGAAGUGAAGUAAAUCUUAUCAUUUAGAGGAAGGAGAAGUCGUAACA